ACUAAUAUAGUUUAAAUAAAACAUUACAUUUUCACUGUAAAAAUAAAGAAAUUCUUUUAUAAGUU
rnacentral:tRNA from 1 species